CCUUAGUCAGCGUUGGGUCUCCCAAGUGGUUUCACAACUUAGAGGAUCUGACAGAGGGUACAGAACUUCUACGCUCUCCAAUCUAACUUUUAGAGAUCACGGACCUUUCUGCAGAACAAGGUCGGACUAUACAUAUCUGGCAGUAGUGUCUAGGAAAUUGAGAUCAAUCAGCAUUAGACAACAGCAAAGUGAUUUUCAGAUGGCGAGUGUUUUAAAACAUCAACGCAAUUUACAUGACAACAAUUUGGGGGCAGCCUACCGCUUUAGUACAUCCGUGACCUAAGCCAAUUCCUCGAAUUACGGAACAAGGAGAAGAAGAAGACAUAGGUCACGUUUUUGACGGAGGAGAAAAUAACGUCGAUCAAGCGGCUACAUACCCUGAGGAGUGUUUCAUCACAUUGAACGGAUUCUUUCGACUAAGAGACGAAAAAUUUGGAAGCUUUGAACGUCUGUUUAUUACACUUGACAACACUUCAGGUAUUGAACAUCUUCAAUCAUUAUAUGAUACUCUUGAUUGUCUGAAUAGCUGUGUUGCUGUGAAUAUAGAGUUGAUAAAAAGAUUUCACAAUAGACAUGGCGCAGAAGCGGGUGAAUCUCACACAGUCUUCAGGGGCUAAGAAAAUACGUGGUGAAAAUAAUCUACCGUCUUGUGAUUUUCAGUUUUGAUGAAACUUUUUCUAGUAGUUUGUCACAUCACAACUCAUGCACAACUCUGAACCCCUAUUUAACAGACGCUAUCGACCGGUUAAACGAGAGUGUAGGACCAUCACAGCAGCUUGUUAGACAGACCCCUAUUACAGAUUAUAGUGACAUCAUUACACCUGAGACACAACAACGCGACAAUCAGUGAACUUAACCAGACUCUGUUAGCAUUACAGAAUAGUCUAAAUGAACAAGGUUACUCUACACAGUCGAAUCCUUCAUUAAUAGAUGCUGUUAACCAGUUGAAUGUUAGUCUAAGAAGUCCUGAGCCGGUUAAUACCCAAUUAGAGCAUUCCAAUCAUAAUUCAAAUCAUAAUGUAUCAAAUACACCACAUACUCAACACGACAUAUUCAGUGAACUUAACCAGAGUCUGCUAGCAUUACAGAAUAGUCUAAAUGAACAAGGUUACUCUACCCCCUUGAAUCCUGAGUUAUUAGAUGCGGUUAAUCAAUUAAAUGAUAGUUUGGCUUUAGCCACAGAUAAAAACAUCAACGAGGUCUCUACUUCAGAAAUCGAGCAUAAUCAUACACCGUUAUCUCCACAUGAUCUGUUUCAUGAUCUUAACCAAAGCCUUAUGUUAAAUGCGGGUUUUGUAAACUUUUUCGAUACCGUUGCUUCACAAAACAUUCAAACUGUAAAUGAACACAGGACUGAAACAGUAAAUGAUCAGUCUCCUAAUGUAGAAGACGUGCAAACAGCUAAUACUGAGAACAUAAACCCCCAAAGCUGUAAUGACGUGCAAAUAUUUGGUGGUGUUAACAUACAACCCCCUAGUGUUGAAAGCAUGCAAUUAGAUAAUGACGAGAACAUAGCCCCUCCUAACGUAGAAAACAUGUGAACAGAUAACGUCGAGAACAUAUCCCCUCCUAACGUAGAACACGUGCAAGCUGGUAAUGGAAUUGAUCCUAAUAUUAGAAUAAUUAAUCGCGACCAAUUCAAUAAUACUGAAAUUAGGAGAAGAGUAAAUUUUUCAUCGAUUGCAGCUGUAGACAGCUUUGCGGAUUUUUAUAAUUAUGUUUUAGAAAUCUUAAACAGUUUGAUAAAAGUGGCUAAUGAAAUGAUUUCACCAAAGGACAUAUUAACGGUUGAAAUUAGAGGUGAUACGAUUGACGUAUAUUCACGUAUUCAUCUAGUUAAUGGGUCCGUUGAUUUACAGUCUUUUCUGACCAUGCUUGAAAAUUCUUUUCAAAGUAAAUGUGAAAUUUUUUCAGAUAACACACUCGAAAUAGUAAUCCAAAUAGUUCGACCACCUCGUGGUGGUUCAUAUAGAAGGAAGAUUAGUACAUUAUUCACUUCGGAAGCUAUACAGAAGAUGAGACAUCUGUAUAUAUUUCAUAAUAAAGACAUGUGUUUUACACUGUGUUACACAACUUUUGAACCCUCAAAAUAAUGACCUUCAAUCUGAAAAAAAAAUCGGUAGACAAAUCUUCCGUGAUGUAGGAUUAACUGAAAACACAGCUGUCACAUUUGCUGAUGUAUCUAAAUUUGAGAAGCAUCUGAAGUGUAAAAUCGUAAUCAUACACCGUUCUGACAACAAAGCCGGCUACUCUUUCUUUCAAACCAGCAGAACCCCCCAUAAAAAAACAAUUUACUUGUUCUUGCAUGACAAUCAUUAUUAUGGAGUUAAAAGCAUUACAGGACU